CACAUGGCGACACACAGACUGAGCCUGGAAACAGAAAGUAAGUAAUACCAACGCAAACUGAGAAGUCCUGUACAAAAUGCCAAAGGAUUGCUAUGAUUGCAGAGUCUUGUCAUUCUGCAUCUCUUCACACUUGAAGACUGCUCGAUAUCAAUCUGAGAACAUCUUGCCUGCAUGGCACAGCUAUCUGGGGACAGUUUGUGGGUCCAUGAACUUUGCAAAUGAGGAUUAUUAAAGUCAUUCUACUGACAGAUGUUUAAGGUGUAGCAGUAAAGAAGUAAAAGUGUAGCAUCACCUGAAGAACCUGUUUCCUCGCUGCAGUCACAUCAGACUCAUACUGGAUCAGUUAAAAGCAAAACAGGAGAUGCUUAGAGAUGUGCUUAUCCAGAUGUGAUCUGUGUGCUAUACUGUCCACAGACUACACACACACCUCUAAUCUCAUAAUUAAAUAUGAGUGGAAAUUCUUAGAUAAAUGAUAGUGCUAUGGUCUAAAAAAGGAAUGUAAAAUAAUUUGGGGACCAUUAAUGACAUUUAGUCAUAGAAUACAUUCACGUGAGACUGUAAAACAGUUUAUUCUAGCAUACAAAUGUUGAUUUUACUGUUUUGUGUUUAUAUAUUUUGCUGUAUUAUUGUGAGUGACUAAAAUAUAUAUUUUAUGUUAUAUGUCUUAUUUGUAAUCCUUUUUGGGGGCACUUUAUCAUCUGUUUUCAUUGUAACAAGUGUCUGUUACCGAAUACCUAAUGUGCUAUGAUUCUGUUUAUUGUUUCACUAUAAUGAACUAAUUUGUAUUAACAAUGUGUUGCAACUGUGUACAAUAAUGCUUUC